rnacentral:rRNA from 1 species
GACGAACGCUGGCGGCGUGCUUAACACAUGCCAGUCGAACGGAGAGGCCCUGCUUUUGUGGGGUGCUCGAGUGGCGAACGGGUGAGUAACACGUGAGUAACCUGCCCUUGACUUUGGGAUAACUUCAGGAAACUGGGGCUAAUACCGGAUAGGAGCUCCUGCUGCAUGGUGGGGGUUGGAAAGUUUCGGCGGUUGGGGAUGGACUCGCGGCUUAUCAGCUUGUUGGUGGGGUAGUGGCUUACCAAGGCUUUGACGGGUAGCCGGCCUGAGAGGGUGACCGGCCACAUUGGGACUGAGAUACGGCCCAGACCCCUACGGGAGGCAGCAGUGGGGAAUAUUGCACAAUGGGCGGAAGCCUGAUGCAGCAACGCCGCGUGCGGGAUGACGGCCUUCGGGUUGUAAACCGCUUUCGCCUGUGACGAAGCGUGAGUGACGGUAAUGGGUAAAGAAGCACCGGCUAACUACGUG